GGUUAAGCAGUAAAUGUGGAGCCGUAGCGAAAGCGAGUCUGAAUAGGGCGUUUAGUAUUUGGUCGUAGACCCGAAACCAGGUGAUCUACCCUUGGUCAGGUUGAAGUUCAGGUAACACUGAAUGGAGGACCGAACCGACUUACGUUGAAAAGUGAGCGGAUGAACUGAGGGUAGCGGAGAAAUUCCAAUCGAACCUGGAGAUAGCUGGUUCUCUCCGAAAUAGCUUUAGGGCUAGCCUCAAGUGAUGAUUAUUGGAGGUAGAGCACUGUUUGGACGAGGGGCCCCUCUCGGGUUACCGAAUUCAGACAAACUCCGAAUGCCAAUUAAUUUAACUUGGGAGUCAGAACAUGGGUGAUAAGGUCCGUGUUCGAAAGGGAAACAGCCCAGACCACCAGCUAAGGUCCCAAAAUAUAUGUUAAGUGGAAAAGGAUGUGGCGUUGCCCAGACAACUAGGAUGUUGGCUUAGAAGCAGCCAUCAUUUAAAGAGUGCGUAAUAGCUCACUAGUCGAGUGACACUGCGCCGAAAAUGUACCGGGGCUAAACAUAUUACCGAAGCUGUGGAUUGUCCUUUGGACAAUGGUAGGAGAGCGUUCUAAGGGCGUUGAAGCAUGAUCGUAAGGACAUGUGGAGCGCUUAGAAGUGAGAAUGCCGGUGUGAGUAGCGAAAGACGGGUGAGAAUCCCGUCCACCGAUUGACUAAGGUUUCCAGAGGAAGGCUCGUCCGCUCUGGGUUAGUCGGGUCCUAAGCUGAGGCCGACAGGCGUAGGCGAUGGAUAACAGGUUGAUAUUCCUGUACCACCUAUAAUCGUUUUAAUCGAUGGGGGGACGCAGUAGGAUAGGCGAAGCGUGCGAUUGGAUUGCACGUCUAAGCAGUAAGGCUGAGUAUUAGGCAAAUCCGGUACUCGUUAAGGCUGAGCUGUGAUGGGGAGAAGACAUUGUGUCUUCGAGUCGUUGAUUUCACACUGCCGAGAAAAGCCUCUAGAUAGAAAAUAGGUGCCCGUACCGCAAACCGACACAGGUAGUCAAGAUGAGAAUUCUAAGGUGAGCGAGCGAACUCUCGUUAAGGAACUCGGCAAAAUGACCCCGUAACUUCGGGAGAAGGGGUGCUCUUUAGGGUUAACGCCCAGAAGAGCCGCAGUGAAUAGGCCCAAGCGACUGUUUAUCAAAAACACAGGUCUCUGCUAAACCGUAAGGUGAUGUAUAGGGGCUGACGCCUGCCCGGUGCUGGAAGGUUAAGAGGAGUGGUUAGCUUCUGCGAAGCUACGAAUCGAAGCCCCAGUAAACGGCGGCCGUAACUAUAACGGUCCUAAGGUAGCGAAAUUCCUUGUCGGGUAAGUUCCGACCCGCACGAAAGGCGUAACGAUUUGGGCACUGUCUCAACGAGAGACUCGGUGAAAUCAUAGUACCUGUGAAGAUGCAGGUUACCCGCGACAGGACGGAAAGACCCCGUGGAGCUUUACUGUAGCCUGAUAUUGAAAUUCGGCACAGCUUGUACAGGAUAGGUAGGAGCCUUUGAAACGUGAGCGCUAGCUUACGUGGAGGCGCUGGUGGG
rnacentral:rRNA from 1 species